CGUAGGGUGCGAGCGUUAAUCGGAAUUACUGGGCGUAAAGUGUGCGCAGGUGGCCGCGCAAGUCGAGUGUGAAAUCCCCGGGCUUAACUUGGGAAUUGCGCUCGAAACUACGUGGCUCGAGUGUGGCAGAGGAAGGUGGAAUUCCACGUGUAGCGGUGAAAUGCGUAGAGAUGUGGAGGAACACCGAUGGCGAAGGCAGCCUUCUGGGCCAACACUGACGCUCAUGCACGAAAGCGUGGGGAGCAAACAGGAUUAGAUACCCUGGUAGUCCACGCCCUAAACGAUGAUGACUAGUUGUUGGAGGAGUUAAAUCCUUUAGUAACGCAGCUAACGCGUGAAGUCAUCCGCCUGGGGAGUACGGUCGCAAGAUUA
rnacentral:rRNA from 1 species